CGUGACGGCGCGAGCAGGUGCGAAAGCAGGUCAUAGUGAUCCGGUGGUUCUGAAUGGAAGGGCCAUCGCUCAACGGAUAAAAGGUACUCCGGGGAUAACAGGCUGAUACCGCCCAAGAGUUCAUAUCGACGGCGGUGUUUGGCACCUCGAUGUCGGCUCAUCACAUCCUGGGGCUGAAGUAGGUCCCAAGGGUAUGGCUGUUCGCCAUUUAAAGUGGUACGCGAGCUGGGUUUAGAACGUCGUGAGACAGUUCGGUCCCUAUCUGCCGUGGGCGCUGGAGAACUGAGGGGGGCUGCUCCUAGUACGAGAGGACCGGAGUGGACGCAUCACUGGUGUUCGGGUUGUCAUGCCAAUGGCACUGCCCGGUAGCUAAAUGCGGAAGAGAUAAGUGCUGAAAGCAUCUAAGCACGAAACUUGCCCCGAGAUGAGUUCUCCCUGAGACUUAGAGUCUCCUGAAGGAACGUUGAAGA
rnacentral:rRNA from 1 species